CUCUUCCCAUACUACCGUCCCUUCCGCUUAGAAUUCUUGUAGACUCUAAGAGAAACACUAAGGGCAGUACUAGGAUUGUAGACUGUUGCUUUUAGGGAGAAGACAGAAACACUGUAGCAGCAUCAAUGCACAGAAGGGACUGCAGAAGGCAGACAUCCAAAGGUGUUCUGGAAAGAUUUCUGUCCCGGGGCAGAAAAUAUUAGACAUGGGAAAAUAUUUUUUCUGUUUGGACUUACCGGGAGGUGUGGGGGCAGGGUUCUAACCCCAGUGAGGGACAUGUUCCAGGCACAGAAGCCAGGGAUAGCCAGGUUACAGAUUGCCAGCACCACUUCCAGAAAGUCAGGUCAAACCAGGAUCAGGCCCCCAGCAAGGCCAGGCCAGACAAGGCAGGGGGCAAGUCUAGGUAAAUAAGGUCAGUCAAAGCAGAGGUCAGAAGGCAAGCCAGGUAGCACCCUGGAUAGCUCCCAUAGUCUGCCAGUCCAAUAAGGAAGGCCUGAAUGUUGCUCCAACAUCCUUCAAAGCCAGACUGAGCCUUAAAUCAGCCUGCAGUCUCCUUUGAGCAGCUUACCAUUCCUAUAGUAAGUGGAGCCUCUACUCUUAAAGGGUCCCUGAUAGUUUCAGCAGCCAGUGGUGUAGGAAGGCCAAGUUUCUACUAGCUCCUCCGAGCUGGUGUCUUUGGAAGGCAACGCUAGAGAGGUGCUGUCACUGUGGACUCCUCUGGUGCUGGGACUUGCAAAGGACCUCACAGAGAGCACACUAUCCUCCCAAGCAAAUAUAGCCUUGGAGUCCAUGUCCUUUUUCCUCUGAGGAUGGGGAAGCUAUGUACCUUUAGAGGGAGCACAGCUCUGUCCAGAACAGGCAACAUGAAUUUGAGCACCGUUUACCCACAGAGCAUCUGCCUUGCCAGGAUCCAAACUCACUUUACUGCCCCUCAUCCAGUCCUCAGGUGCCCACAGCAUUAUGGCACCAGUCCAGGUCUUGCAUGACCUCUCCUGAUUCAAAGAACUAGAGCUGCAUGUCAUCAGUAUGCUGAUGGCACCAUGCUCCUAAAGUCUGCUCCCAGUGGCUUCCUUUAGAUGCUAAAUAACAUCUAGGACAGAAUGUUGCCCUGCAGAACCUUCAUGCACAGAAACAGUUCUGAAUUCUGGCUGUUGGGAACAAACCCCGAGGAAUGGCUGUCACCUUGCGUGCUGCAGUCACGUAUUUCCCA